UUACCACCCCUAUGCACCAGCCAUAGGAUGUUUAGCAGACAAAGGACAGUAUCCAACACUAGGCCUACUCAGAGUAAACCCAUUGAAAUUAAUGGGCAUAGUUAAUUUGGAUUUAUUAAUUUGAGGUCUACUUUGAGUGAAACUUAGCUGGCUGCAAGCCAGAAGAGUAACAAAGAUGUGUGGAACUCCCAAUUAGUUUCCUAAGUUUAGCUGCUGUCUGUCUGCCUGUCUUUAUGCCUCAGAAACCUUCGUUUUGUGUCCCUGGCUAGGGGAAACCCUGCUCUGGCCUGGAAAUGCCUGGUCUCCUCCUUGCUUUGGGGGCUUAAUCUAUUGCCGAAGUUCUCACUCCCUCUCAUUUGUUUCAGCCGAGGGUCAAGCUGCAAAUUCAAUAUAUCUAAAAGUUCUUGGGAGCAUGCAGAGAUUAUGCUCAGCAAACAACUGGAACCACUAAAUGAAAGAAAAUAAGAACAAGAAUAGUAACAGUGAAAUGGUAAGCUUUGUAGAGAUUUAGCUGUUCCCACUGCAAUCCCACUCUUCAUUUGCAAUAAAACCCCAAAAGCGGCAGGAUAAAGUCCUACGGAUUUGUUUUCAUUCUUGUGGACAAUGGAAACCAAUAUUAGUUUUUGUGUGCUGAAGUUUAGGUGGGAAGGCCUGCAUAAGUAAAACUGCCUCUCAAGAUCCGAGUACAAAAGUCGUGCUAUGGAAGCUGCCGAGUAUGGAGAAUAGCAGCUGGGAAACCAAAGGCCCAGAGGAGGAAGGUGGUUGUCAUCUAGGACUUCCUUGGUGCCUCUUUGCUGAGUAGAAAGAGCACCAAGACUCAUGAAGUCCAGCUUGGAAGUUGCACCCAGGAGAGAGCUACGAUGCCUGGUUGCUUAGCCAGGGAGAUAUUUCCACCAAGGCUCACCAUCAAAGAGGAGGGAGGAGUGUUGCUGUGAGAUAAUGGCUAUGUGUUUUGAGUCUGAGAGGCCAGAACACCAGAUGCUGAAAGCCUGGCGACCAGAUGUGAGGAAGGAGCUGUGGUGGCAGAACUGGAGAGCACUCACUUGUGUUGGACUUCAAGAGACCUGAAGCUACUGCAUGUUACCCCCUUUUGACCCACCGCCUAACACCAAGUUUGGGUUUGGAAAAAUGUUUUAAAGCAAAAUUGCUUUGAAAAUAAGAGGCAACCAUAUUUCCACAUGAUUGUUUCUCCAACUAAACCAUUUUGAAUCUUU